CUUUCAUGUGCAAGUUCAGAUAUUUCUCUGAUUCUCAGGCUCGUCCGCUGUCUCCUUGCUCCUGUUCUUGCUUCCUCUCUCCUUCUGCUACUUUUCGCCACAACCCAUCUCAAAGAAAAUGCGAGCCACGUCAUCCCAAUCGGAGCUCUCCUUCGGGUUCUCUCGUCACAGAGAGAUCCCUGUCUCGAUGGCUGCUCCUCCUCCUCCUUCUCGCUUCAUCAAGAACCAUGGAGUCCUCGCGUUGAAACCCAGUUUCGCUCGAGGCGUCAGCGUCAGCGUCAGCGUCAGCGUCAGCGUGAAUCUGCUCAAGUGUCGGUGUAGCAGGGGCGUGAGUGAGAAGCCCGCCGGGGGUGGUGGUGGUGGUGGUGGUGGUGGGGAAGUGUUCUACGCGACAUCGUCGAGCAAGUGCGACAUUGAUUACCUCGGGGAGAGCACUAAGGGCGAUUUGAACGUGAAAAUGGAGCACCUUGAGGCUUUUGGAAUUGAUGGUCAGAUCACAUUAGAAGGCCCAAUUGAGGAAGUGGCCAAAAUGGAAGCUGAUGAAGCUGAGGAUCUUUUAAGAAAAUUGGAUAUUCCUAGUCCUUUUUCGUGUAGAUAUUCUCCUCGUGGAAUAUUCUGUAGCCGUACAUUGAAUCUUCGAUCCAUAAGUGCCAUUGGCUACGACAUGGACUACACUUUGAUGCACUACAAUGUGAUGGCAUGGGAAGGGCGUGCUUACGAUUACUGCAUGGAGAAUUUGAAGAACAUGGGUUUUCCUGUUGAUGGACUAUCUUUUGACCCGGACUUGGUUAUCAGAGGUCUGGUCAUAGACAAAGAACGUGGUAAUUUGGUUAAGGCCGAUCGGUUUGGUUAUGUGAAGAGGGCCAUGCAUGGCACACGGAUGUUAUCUACCCGAGCUGUGAGUGAGAUUUACGGGAGGGAACUGGUGGAUUUGCGGAAAGAAAGUCAAUGGGAGUUCCUUAAUACGCUUUUCUCCGUCUCAGAAGCUGUGGCUUUUAUGCAAAUGGUUGAUAGAUUGGAUGAUGGAUCUAUAGCAGCAGAAGUUGGUCCGCUCGACUAUAAAGGGCUUUACAAGGCUGUUGGAAAGGCUCUCUUCAGGGCUCACGUGGAAGGUCAGCUGAAGAGUGAGAUAAUGUCUAAGCCUGAACUGUUUGUGGAGCCUGAUCCGGAACUACCUCUAGCCCUGUUGGAUCAGAAGGAGGCGGGUAAAAAACUUCUGCUUAUCACCAACUCAGAUUAUCAUUACACAGACAAAAUGAUGAAGCAUUCCUUUAACAGAUUUCUCCCUAAUGAUAUGGACUGGCGUGAUCUAUUCGACAUUGUUAUUGUAUCAGCAAAAAAGCCUGAAUUUUUCCAGAUGUCGCAUCCAAUGUACGAAGUGGUCACUGGUGAGGGUCUGAUGCGUCCUUGUUUCAAGGCUUGUACAGGGGGCUUGUAUUCCGGGGGAAGUGCUCAAAUGGUAGAGAAUUCUCUCAAUAUACACGGUGAUGAAAUAUUAUACGUGGGUGACCAUAUAUACACAGAUGUCAGUCAGUCCAAACUUCAUUUACGAUGGAGAACGGCAUUAAUCUGUCGAGAAUUGGAGGAGGAGUACAGCGCUUUAAUUCGAAGCCGAGAUCACAGAGCCACUUUGAUAGAUCUCAUAAACCAAAAAGAGGUUGUCGGGGAUCUCUUUAACCAGCUGCGGCUCGCUUCACAGAGGCGAAAUAAAGGGCGUCCAGCACAGACACUAGCUGCGACAGGCAUGGACGAUCAGGAACUCACUGAAAGCAUGCAGAAGUUGCUGAUUGUCAUGCAAAGACUAGACAAAAAAAUAGCACCACUGUUAGAAACAGAUGGCGAGCUGUUCAAUAGAAGGUGGGGCUUUCUGUCGCGAGCGGGUCUAUGGGAUAAAAGCCACUUGAUGAGACAAAUUGAGAAGUACUUCUUUUUUCCCCUUUAAAAUGCAUUCUUAAUCCACAAUCAAAUAUAGGAGCAAUGAGGAGUCUCAUGGAUGUUCGUUUGGCUCAACAUUAACAAAUGCAGUCGCUCGCACACGACUCUUAUUCGCAGAAACAUUGGCCGAUCAAUGGGCUCUCGACUGAUAACUGAGAUCGAACGUGUUUUUGUAGCAUUGUGAUGAAGUCCGGAUCCAUGAUGACUUUAUCAUCCGCAGCCAGAGUAUCCUCUUAAAGUCAGGGGAGACUCUGAACUGCGGUGCAGAGGAGCAGAGGGGUGUGUAUGUGCUUAAAAAUAGCUGUAAUUGGUGUGAAUAAUGUACCUUGUGCGUUACAGAUAAAGGGUGACAAUUGCCUCCUGUUGUGCAACUUUGACCGUCUUCAUUAAGGG